GACGAACGCUGGCGGCGCGCCUAACACAUGCAAGUCGAACGGAAAGGCCUGCUUUCCCUUGUGGAUUGCGGGUACUCGAGUGGCGAACGGGUGAGUAACACGUGAGUGAUCUGCCCCCAACUUGGGUCUAAGCCUGGGAAACUGUGUCUCAUUCUCGAUAGGACUGCAGGGUGGAGCCUGUCUUGGAAAACGAUUUUCUAGUGUUUGGGGAUGGGCGCGCGGCCUAUCAGCUGGUUGGUGGGGUAAUGGCCUACCAAGGCGGCGGCGGGUAGCCGGCCUGAGAGGGUGGACGGGCACAUUGGGACUGAUAGACGGCCCAGAGGGCGGCGGGAGUCAGGAGUAGGGAAUAUUGGACGAUGGGCGGAAGCCGGAUGCAGCGACGCCGGGUGAGGGAGGACGGCCUGCGGGUUGUAAUCUCCGUGCGACCGCGAGGAAGCCACCUGGUUGGGAGGGUGGUGACGGUAGUGGUAGAAGAAGCACCGGCUAACUACUG
rnacentral:rRNA from 1 species